GUUAAAAACAGGGAUUUCUAUGAAAAUAAGCGAUAUUUUAGGUUAAAAACAGGGAUUUUGAUGAAAAUAAGCGAUAUUUUAGGGUUAAAAAAAGGGAUUUCUAUGAAAAUAAGCGAUAUUUUAGGGUUAAAAACAGGGAUUUCUAUGAAAAUAAGCGAUAUUUUAGGGUUAAAAACAGGGAUUUCUAUGAAAAUAAGCGAUAUUUUUGGGUUAAAAACAGGGAUUUCCAUGAAAAUAAGCGAUAUUUUUGGGUUAAAAACAGGGAUUUCUAUGAAAAUAAGCGAUAUAUUAGGGUUGAAAGCAGGGAUUUCGACGAAAAUAAGGGAUGUUUAAGGGGAAAAAAUGGGAUUUCUAUGAAAAUAAGCGAUAUUUAAGGGUUAAAAAACGGGAUUUCGAUGAAAAUAAGCGAUAUUUUAGGGUUAAAAACAGGGAUUUCUAUGAAAAUAAGCGAUAUUUUAGGGUUAAAAACAGGGAUUUGUAUGAAAAUAAGCGAUAUUUUAGGUUAAAAACAGGGAUUUUGAUGGAAAUAAGCGAUAUUUUAGGGUUAAAAACAGGGAUUUCUAUGAAAAUAAGCGAUAUUUUUGGGUUAAAAACAGGGAUUUCCAUGAAAAUAAGCGAUAUUUUUGGGUUAAAAACAGGGAUUUCUAUGAAAAUAAGCGAUAUAUUAGGGUUGAAAGCAGGGAUUUCGACGAAAAUAAGGGAUGUUUAAGGGGAAAAAACAGGGAUUUCUAUGAAAAUAAGCGAUAUUUAAGGGUUAAAAAACGGGAUUUCGAUGAAAAUAAGCGAUAUUUUAGGGUUAAAAACAGGGAUUUCUAUGAAAAUAAGCGAUAUUUUAGGGUUAAAAACAGGGAUUUGUAUGAAAAUAAGCGAUAUUUUAGGUUAAAAACAGGGAUUUUGAUGGAAAUAAGCGAUAUUUUUGGGUUAAAAACAGGGAUUUCUAUGAAAAUAAGCGAUAUUUUUGGGUUAAAAACAGGGAUUUUUAUGAAAAUAAGCGAUAUUUUAGGGGAAAAACAGGGAUUUCCAUGAAAAUAAGCGAUAUUUUUGGGGAAAAACAGGGAUUUCCAUGAAAAUAAGCGAUAUUUUUGGG